UCGUAGGUAGCUCAGUUGGUUAGAGCCGUGGUGAUAUUUGCCACUAGGGUCGCAGGUUCAAGUCCUGCCCUUCGAG
rnacentral:tRNA from 1 species